AUUGAACGCUGGCGGCAGGCCUAACACAUGCAAGUCGAGCGGGGUUUUCGGACCUAGCGGCGGACGGGUGAGUAAUGCGUAGGAAGCUGCCCGAUAGAGGGGGAUACCAGUUGGAAACGACUGUUAAUACCGCAUAAUGUCUACGGACCAAAGUGUGGGACCUUCGGGCCACAUGCUAUCGGAUGCGCCUACGUGGGAUUAGCUAGUUGGUGAGGUAAUGGCUCACCAAGGCGACGAUCUCUAGCUGGUUUGCGAGGAUGAUCAGCCACACUGGAAAUGAGACACGGUCCAGACUCCUACGGGAGGCAGCAGUGGGGAAUAUUGGACAAUGGGCGCAAGCCUGAUCCAGCCAUGCCGCGUGUGUGAAGAAGGCCUUCGGGUUGUAAAGCACUUUCAGCGAGGAGGAAGGGGUGUGUGUUAAUAGUACACACCUUUGACGUUACUCGCAGAAGAAGCACCGGCUAACUCUGUGCCAGCAGCCGCGGUAACAC
rnacentral:rRNA from 1 species